AAAUUGAAGAGUUUGAUCAUGGCUCAGAUUGAACGCUGGCGGCAGGCCUAACACAUGCAAGUCGAGCGGCAGCGGGAAGUAGUUUACUACUUUGCCGGCGAGCGGCGGACGGGUGAGUAAUGUCUGGGAAACUGCCUGAUGGAGGGGGAUAACUACUGGAAACGGUAGCUAAUACCGCAUAACGUCUUCGGACCAAAGUGGGGGACCUUCGGGCCUCACGCCAUCGGAUGUGCCCAGAUGGGAUUAGCUAGUAGGUGGGGUAAUGGCUCACCUAGGCGACGAUCCCUAGCUGGUCUGAGAGGAUGACCAGCCACACUGGAACUGAGACACGGUCCAGACUCCUACGGGAGGCAGCAGUGGGGAAUAUUGCACAAUGGGCGCAAGCCUGAUGCAGCCAUGCCGCGUGUGUGAAGAAGGCCUUCGGGUUGUAAAGCACUUUCAGCGAGGAGGAAGGCAUAAAGGUUAAUAACCUUUGUGAUUGACGUUACUCGCAGAAGAAGCACCGGCUAACUCCGUGCCAGCAGCCGCGGUAAUACGGAGGGUGCAAGCGUUAAUCGGAAUUACUGGGCGUAAAGCGCACGCAGGCGGUUUGUUAAGUCAGAUGUGAAAUCCCCGCGCUUAACGUGGGAACUGCAUUUGAAACUGGCAAGCUAGAGUCUUGUAGAGGGGGGUAGAAUUCCAGGUGUAGCGGUGAAAUGCGUAGAGAUCUGGA
rnacentral:rRNA from 1 species